rnacentral:rRNA from 1 species
GGACGAACGCUGGCGGCGUGCCUAAUACAUGCAAGUAGAACGCUGAAGAGAGGAGCUUGCUCUUCUUGGAUGAGUUGCGAACGGGUGAGUAACGCGUAGGUAACCUGCCUUGUAGCGGGGGAUAACUAUUGGAAACGAUAGCUAAUACCGCAUAACAAUGGAUGACACAUGUCAUUUAUUUGAAAGGGGCAAUUGCUCCACUACAAGAUGGACCUGCGUUGUAUUAGCUAGUAGGUGAGGUAAUGGCUCACCUAGGCGACGAUACAUAGCCGACCUGAGAGGGUGAUCGGCCACACUGGGACUGAGACACGGCCCAGACUCCUACGGGAGGCAGCAGUAGGGAAUCUUCGGCAAUGGGGGCAACCCUGACCGAGCAACGCCGCGUGAGUGAAGAAGGUUUUCGGAUCGUAAAGCUCUGUUGUAAGUCAAGAACGGGUGUGAGAGUGGAAAGUUCACACUGUGACGGUAGCUUACCAGAAAGGGACGGCUAACUACGUGCCAGCAGCCGCGGUAAUACGUAGGUCCCGAGCGUUGUCCGGAUUUAUUGGGCGUAAAGCGAGCGCAGGCGGUUUGAUAAGUCUGAAGUUAAAGGCUGUGGCUCAACCAUAGUUCGCUUUGGAAACUGUCAAACUUGAGUGCAGAAGGGGAGAGUGGAAUUCCAUGUGUAGCGGUGAAAUGCGUAGAUAUAUGGAGGAACACCGGUGGCGAAAGCGGCUCUCUGGUCUGUAACUGACGCUGAGGCUCGAAAGCGUGGGGAGCGAACAGGAUUAGAUACCCUGGUAGUCCACGCCGUAAACGAUGAGUGCUAGGUGUUGGAUCCUUUCCGGGAUUCAGUGCCGCAGCUAACGCAUUAAGCACUCCGCCUGGGGAGUACGACCGCAAGGUUGAAACUCAAAGGAAUUGACGGGGGCCCGCACAAGCGGUGGAGCAUGUGGUUUAAUUCGAAGCAACGCGAAGAACCUUACCAGGUCUUGACAUCCCGAUGCUAUUUCUAGAGAUAGAAAGUUACUUCGGUACAUCGGUGACAGGUGGUGCAUGGUUGUCGUCAGCUCGUGUCGUGAGAUGUUGGGUUAAGUCCCGCAACGAGCGCAACCCCUAUUGUUAGUUGCCAUCAUUCAGUUGGGCACUCUAGCGAGACUGCCGGUAAUAAACCGGAGGAAGGUGGGGAUGACGUCAAAUCAUCAUGCCCCUUAUGACCUGGGCUACACACGUGCUACAAUGGUUGGUACAACGAGUUGCGAGUCGGUGACGGCGAGCUAAUCUCUUAAAGCCAAUCUCAGUUCGGAUUGUAGGCUGCAACUCGCCUACAUGAAGUCGGAAUCGCUAGUAAUCGCGGAUCAGCACGCCGCGGUGAAUACGUUCCCGGGCCUUGUACACACCGCCCGUCACACCACGAGAGUUUGUAACACCCGAAGUCGGUGAGGUAACCUUUUGGAGCCAGCCGCCUAAGGUGGGACAGAUGAUUGGGGUGA